rnacentral:sRNA from 1 species
GGGGUGUGUGGGUGCCUGGAACCAGCGAGCGAUGUGUACAUACCAAGCCCACUGAGCCCCGUUUCCCUUCAACGGAGAAGAAGUGGGUUGGUUGGAUCGCCCGCCGUGGACCCCAUUGCUCCAGUCUUCCCUUGAGGUGCCUGAUUUGGCUAGCUGAGGUGAGCUUGGAUGCCGAGAUCCUGUGUAAAUUUGGAAAGAGUGGCAAAAAGGGGAGAUGGAAAAAUAAUUCCAAAAAAAAAAAGGUAACACGGAGAAAGAAUGUUUUUGAUAUUCAUACUCGUUCAGGCUGCGGCAACAGGUGCAAGUUCCCAGUUGCUCAUCGAGGUUUCGUUUCGUUUUCGAAUCUGGAUUUUUUUAAAAUUCUAUUUUAUAUUUCUAUCUAUACAUGUAUAUGCCUGAGAUAUGAGUUUUUGCGCGAUGUAAGAGUUUCCCCUUCCCCAGUUCAUCCGAUCUCCGAUCUAUGGACGCAGUAUUGUACUGUACCUGUCUGUACGCUAGAGCCCAUUUAUACGCGGCCAUCACUACAAUCACACAA